rnacentral:lncRNA from 1 species
ACUACUUAGCAUAUGCAUAAUGUAUAUACAUAGAUACUUAAAUUAAAAGUAAAUAUUAAUUGUUUAUUAUUUUUAUGCAUACAUAUAUAUAUAAUUGCAUUGUAAAUAAUUGUGUUAUAAAUAAUUGUAUUAUAAAAAAAAUAAUAAUUAUUUAGUAUAUGCAUAAUGUAUAUACAUAGACACUUAAACUAAAAGUAAAUAUUAAUUAUACAUCAUAUACAUUUAUUUAGGACAAUUAAUAAUUAUUUAAAACAAUUAUACAUCAUAUACAUCAUAUAAGAAAAAUAAAAAAUAAGAAAUAGAAAAAAAACUCUUCGGCCGCUGGUGGGCUAGCCCAGCUGGGCAGGCGGCCCACCUACCCCUGCCCCUGCCCCUCCCUCUCCCCCUCGCCCUCUCCACUGGCCGCAAGGACGCCGCCGCAGCCGCCUCGGGUAAGCAGCCCUGACACUCCCCCGAGGCGGCUGCGCGCAGCCCCGAGGCUUCUCCCGCAUGGAGCCGCAGCCGCAGCCCCGCCCCCG